UUGGAUCACCUAUUUCAAAUUUCUUGAAAAAAGACCAAAAUCAGUACAAGGUUGAGAAAAUUUUUUGUUAUCAUCCAAAAAUAUCUCUUACAAAAAUUCUCAAAUUACCCUUAAAGAUAAAAAAAUGAUCCUUAUAUUAAUGCUCUUUAUUGAGCUAAAAGUUCAAGUCUAAAAGAGUUAAAAAAAACCUUGAGCAAGGAUUUGAAAUUUUUUAGUAAAACAAAAUUCUCAAUUAGUCAGAAGUCUAAAAGCUGCUUUCGGUAGUGGCGAAUUCUGGCGAAGUUUAAGGCACCAUUUUGCUUCCCUGAGAAAGGUUAGUCUUCGAUUCUUCUUUCUUGUCUUGUCGUGUUGUUAUAGUUAUAGCAGUAGUAAUUUUGAUUAUUGCAUUGUAUGUUUAGAAUUAUUGUUGUAGAGGCUAUGAAGGCUAUAGGUUUUUAUUAUGAUGAAAAAUAUCGUUGUGCUAUCUCUCCGCCAAAUUUCAUCUUUUUUCUCUUGUGGAUGUAUGUUAGCUCUUAGUCCUUCCUCAAUAUAAGUGAAAGUGAUAGUUGUAGAAAGUGUUUGAAAGUCAUAAGUCUUCUUUGUUCAGCUCUUGGACUUAAUAUCUUGUUGGUUAGAUCAUUGUUUUGCCUCAUGAUUCUUGUUUUGGUUCUGAAGAUUCACUAUUUAUCUUAAUCUGUGAUUUCCUUUAGUGCCUCUUUUUGUGAUUUUCUAUUGAGGUUCAACGAUUCCUACUAAAUCCCUAACUUAUUUAUACGUGUUCUGCGUAUCUUUUUUAUUCACUCUUUGACAUAAGUGUUUCUGUUGGGCCUUUCUCAUUUUUUGUUCUAGCUUAAGGGUGUGGCUUGUACUACUUCUAUCUACUAUUUUUUAAGAAAAAAGCUUAAUCCGUCUUGUCCAGCUUAACUUCCUACUUGUUUUAGCUUGAAUACUAAUUCUUCAUCUUGGAAACUUUGAUUUUGAUACCUGUGUUCUAUUUUAAAUUCGUGUCUGUUAGGGGUUCUUGUUUGAGGCCUUUGGGAAAAUGUAUUGGCUUGUUGAAGAAUAUUAGGUAUUUAAGUAUCUCUGUUGAAGUAGAAUAUCCUAAUUUUUGUUGUCAUUACGCUAUGUGUAAUUUGUGCUUAAGCUAAGGAUUCCCAAGAAUCUUUCUUGCUCGAUAACAUCAAGAAGAGAGGGGUGAAGUUAUAUUUUUCUUACUCCUAAAAACAAAGUUAGGAGACGGAAUACAUCAUCACAACUGUUUGCUUCUAUCCUCAAGUGCCCACUAUCAGGGAUUUUUUUAUUUUUAAUAUUUGAAAAUAUUUAAUUGUUUUCCCUAGUCUAAUAACUAUAUAUUUUGUGGUCGGGUGCGACAGAUAUGUUAUAAUUGGUCCAGCUGUUGUUUUGUUUAGCUGAAAAGCUCAAAGUUGAAAGGAGAAGUUGUCUUUUUGAAAUGGCUAGUUUUAUAUCUCUUUCUCUGAUUCAUGAGUGGAGUAUUGAACAACUUACUUGCUCUCAGUGUGUACUAUUACUUCUCUUCUAUUAGGUAUAUGCUCUAUUCUAGUUUCAUUGCUUUCAUCAAGUGCUCGUCUCUCAUGUAUUCUUAGAGUUAUUUAUUUUAAAUCAAGCAUGUUACUAGUAUCGAUUAGGCAAAUUGCAAUGUAGACCUCUGUCUUCAUUUUAUGAAUUAAGUGGUUUAGUUAAAUGGGCCUGUUAUCCCCCCAAAUCUUAUAUGAUACUCAUUUAUUCCAGAUUGUUUUAUCUGUUGAAUCCAAGUGUUUUUUGCUUUGUUAGCAAAAAUUAUACGUUUUCAUUUAACAGGUCAGGUCAUAAGUUACCUCUUACUUUCCUUCUUUUCAUUUUUCAUUUUCUAUGAAAGCAUUGGUUGUAUUGUUCUUAUUUUUGUUCAUUUCUUUGCUAUGACUUAGUCUGGAACUAUCUUUUUGAAAUUUGUCUUGAAACAGUAAAGUUUAUAGUUUCCUACAAAGACUGUUUUAAUCGUGAAAUUUUAACGAGUUUAUGAGGUGCUUUCAUGCAAUUUUGGUAUUAAACAUUGUAUUUCAAGUCAAGUACGAACAUAAACGCCUAAUUUCCUAUAAAGGUCGAAUUGAUUCACAAUUUUUUUUGAUGGCUUGAAUGAUGAAUUGUUUAGUUGACUUCCAUGUCUACUUUUAUCUCUCAUUCCUUUCCCAUAUUUCUUCUUUUCAAGUUUUCUGAAAAUGCCUUGUUAAGAUAUGAAUACUCCGAGUUAGUAUUGCGGAUUAGUAAGAAGAUCAAAUCUUGUUUUGAUUACUUGAAAUAUGAAAGCCAAUCCCAUGUGUAGUGUGAAUAUGUUCAAGAUUAUAUAUAGUUUGAAUCAGUUGUGUUUUGUAUUUAUUUUUCGAAUUAACUACUCUCAUUUCGAAUAAAAUUCUAAUCCUCCUCUUUUCUUUGGCGUGAAAAAUCUGUUUGGGGUUCGAGUGGACUUUCCUUUUCUUUGCAUUCAUAAUAGGCAAAUGGGGCCAUCUCUUCGAGUCAACUUCAAGCUAAGUCCAAAAGUUUGUCCUAUGGAGUACCGUAAUAAGGAUAUAGAAGAAGAUAAUGGGUCCAAGCCCAUUGACAUAGCUGCUAGGAUUUGGAGACUUGAAAAGUCUCAUUCUUCAUUAUUUUAUUUAUUUAGUAUUGCUUUACUUGUCUUUAUUCAUUUAGUUACUUAUUUAUUCAUUCAUUCAGGGCCUCAAAGCUAAAGUGGUAAAUUAAUACAGAGAAAGCAGAUUUUGGGCCAAAGGGGUCCGAAAAGAUAGUUUAGGACAGGUUAUAGGCCAAAAGCCUAAUAUUUAAAUUAGGACAGGUGAAAAUGAGCUAAAAGCCCAAAUGAAUAGUUAAGGACAGAGGUAUUUGGGCCAAAAGCCCAAUUAUAUUAGUACAGGAUUGAUGGAUUUUGGCUUACAAGCCUGACUUAUAAUUCUUCCCGUUCCCCUUUAUGUGUUAUUUGAUAUUAGUUUUCUUAGAACUAGUUAAAUUCCCCAUUAAGUCGUCCAAAAUUAAUUUUGCACAAAUUUUUCUCUUAAUCAAUUUUUUUAUAAAAUAAUACCUAUUUAAAUUUAGACAAAGAUGUUGUUUUCAAAUAGUCCGGAUAACCGCAAGUUAAUAGAUACUCUUGGUUCCUUAACCACCUUCCAAGAGUAUUAAUAGGAACCACUUACUCGGAAUUUCAAACUUAAAUAAUUUUUUUCUACUUUGAAUCAUUUAAGUAAUUUCCAAAGGUUUUUUCUUAAUGUUUCUAAAUAAAUUAAGUGGAGACUCUAUUCUUGAGUUUAAAAACUUUUUGAAAGCAAAAAACUCAAAAGUUAUUUCUCCGCAAAACAAAAAUAGCGUCUCUGUUGGGGAGAUUAAGUAGGUUCUAACCAAAUAUUUGAAUUGGCUUCGUUGACUAACUAUUGCAAUUUUUAAACUGCUUAUGCACUUAUAUUUUUAAUUUCUACGAAAUUAAGCUAUUAUAUUUCAUGGCAUAGUUUCCACUCGAAAUAUAUAAAUUGUUUGGGGUUUCGUUGAUGUUCAGGGCCCUAUUGUUCAAUUCUAAAGUAAGUGUUGGGAAUACGACGGUUUAUUAGCAUGUUAGGCGUCUGAUGGCUAUUCAUAUUUCCAAACCCAAGUCGUCCUCCAGGGACCCUGGUCCAAAUCCACUCUAGACACCCAGGAUAGAGCGAAACCAAAGCCACUAGAACUUGAAUCUAAACACGAAGAAGUAAAGAUAGAAGCAUAGGAUAACCAAGAUAGGAAGACAGACACAAAAUUGAUAAUGCAAGGGGAAUCGAAGGUUAUUUCAAACCCUAAAACCUCCCUUAAUGGAUUACCAAUUACCACCUAACUCUUACGUCACCGCAAAGGGGAUUAGAUCUUCCUUACAACCAACGUUUCUAGUCAAGGCUCAAUAUUGACUUUUCCAAGUACUCAUCACUCCCAAUGGACUUUCCAUGAAUACAUCAUGAUAAAUAGUCAACAAAAACUAAAGAAGAAAGACCUAAAUCUAUCUAUUUAUAGUCAAAUAAAAGGCCUAAAAGUCACCCAUUAGCAAAAACAAAAAAUAACCUCAAGGGUGAUUUUCAAUUGAUGACUUCAUCACUAGUCGCCACUGUAGUCGUCAACCAAGUGAUAAGUCAUUGCUUUAGUCAUAACCCUUAACAUAAUGUCAUCUUCAGUGACAAUUCAUCACCUAAGUUAUCAGAAAGGUGAUAAGUCAUCACUUAAGUCAUCUGCCUUAAUAGAAUGUAAUUUUCAGCUUGAUAACUCGUCAGUGAAGUCGUCAACAACGUGAUAACUUAUCAACCAAGCUGUCACUUCUAGGAAGAAUGUUAGUUUUUUUAUCUUUUUAUCCCAAUAAAUUAACCAUACAUGAGAUUGUUGGUUUAGGAGCUCAAAGAAGGUCCUCCAAGUGUAUUCUUGAAUUGUUUGGUUUAUCAUGACUCGGACCUCUUUGUGUUGUCCUCGAAUGAUGUGUUCAAAAAUGUUCGUGGCCAUUUGGCUUGCAUCAUCCUCCCCUUCUUGAAAAGGAUUUGACCUUGAAUCUAUUCCUUGAAAAAUCAAAGGAAGGACAAACAAACACAAAAUCAUCAUGGAAUGAGGGUUAUGGUUAGCACACAAAUCACAUCAUCAUGCCAAGGUUGAACAUAUUUAAUAUAUAUCCAAGUAUCCUUCAUGUUAAACAUUAGAAGCUCGUUGAAAAAUACACAAAGAAGUUGAUUAUGAACAUCAUCAAGAUAUAAGGAAACAAUAAAGGUCUUAAUGACAUCAAUUAUUCCAAAAGGUAGAACUACGUAUACCUUAUGAGCCAUAGGACACAAUUGCUUCAUUAUUUCUUCAACAGACCACACCAAGGGUGGUGCCUCAAUGGCUUCUAAAGUUCACAAGAUCCAUAUAGUAUUGUGACACAAACAAGUGGACAAACCAACAAUUUUCCUACCUCGACAUAAAAAAUCCAAGACUAGCAUGGAUGUCGUCAUAUGGAAAAAAGUAGUAUAGAAAAGAAUCAAGUGUAAAGGCAUCAUCCAAGGUGCUUGUAAUACCCAAAAAUCCAAAUCAAUAUUAAAAACAUUCUUCAAGAUCAUGGAAAAUAAAUUAUAGUGAUUUGGUAGUUUUAUUAGUGAGUUUGAUGUAUAUUAAGGCCUCAAAUAACUCCUAGUUAUUAAAUAAAUCAAAAUAUCUCUUACUGAUUGAGUUCUUGAGAAGGAUGUCGCCAUAGUGAACUUCAAAUGAGAAUAUGUUUUGUUUUACUAAAAAAAUUUUAUGACAUAGCCCACCAACGGUUAGAUAAUUGAAUUAUCUUUUCAACGAUAGCAAUUUUUUCUUAAUCUGAUUUCUGAUUAAAACUUUAUGCUUGUUUUACCAGAGAGCUGUCCUACUGUCGAAGUGCGAUGGCCAGGUUAACGGUCAUCAAGCCAGGCCGUCAACUUCAGGAAGUGAGCUCAUUUUCUACCCAUAAACUGAUUUCUUGAGUGACGGUCAAUCACCAGAGUGACGGUCGGUCACCCAAACCAUCAACCAAGCCCGCUCAAUGAAGGAUUGACAUUUUUAAUGAGGUCUAUGGGUCUUUUUCCACCCUUUUUAACCCCUAAUUCCAUCAACUUAAAAAACAUAACCCCUCACUCAUCCUUAAAAUCAAAAUUAGGGCUUCUUUCAAGAUCAUUCACCAAGAACAAGAUUCAAACCCUUCUUCAAGAAACUAAGAAAUUCAAGUUCUUCAAGUUCAAGAAACAUCAAGAAAACAUCAAGAUUUAUGAUUCCCAAUCCAAGAACGUUCAAGAAAAGUUAAUUCUCUUUCAAGAAUAAUUCUUUAAGGUAUGUUAAAUGUUCAUCCAUGGAUCCUUUUCACCCAUGGAUCCCAAGAACCCAACUUCAAAUUCAAAGUUAUGAUUUUUACAAAUUAUGGGGAUUUUAACCAUGAGUCGCCUUGAAUUUUGAUUCUAUAACAUGUUCCCCAAACAUUAGAAUGGUGUUGUUCACUGAAUUAAACCCUAAUUGGUGAUUUUAGUAGGAAAACCAUGCUAUUACUAUAAGUUUUAAAACUAUUCCCAUACUUAUCUUAAACCAUGAAUUACAAGUGUUUGAUGAAAUGCCCAAAAAAAGGAGUUUUGAAUAAAUGCUUACAUAUCAUGUCCUCAAAGUUUUAGUACAAUCCUUCUAUUAUUAUUAUCGAGUCCUGGGGGUUUAAAUACCCAAAAUUUAGUCGCUUACCUAGUUUUCAAUAUUUAUAGAAUGGUUACAGAAUUUAAAUAGUUAAGCAUAGUCAGCCAAAUAUUUUGGGUCUUUCAGUUGGGAGUAGGAUUUAGCAUCGAGCAAAUGUAGGUAUAACGGCUUCCCCAUCAGUUAGGCAGAGUCAUUAGUAGCAGUCCUUGCAUUCCAGAACUAUGUAGCCGGCGUAGGAUAUGAGGAGUCACCCAUCAAUUUAGGCUUGAUUUUGCCCAGGUGUCACCCAUCAAUUUAUGCUUGACAUCCUAGUUUUUCAGUAGCUUAGUGGAUCCACUCAGCCAUGAGUUAGUACCCGUGGCACGAUAUUGGCACCCUUCCAAUUGGGGUCACAGUUUGGACCCCAAUUUGCUCAUUGGGGCAUGUCGGUUAGAUGAUAGCUCCCAUAGUCUCAGUCCAAUAUUCAGCCCAAUAAUUUAGUUUCAAGUUUGCUUGAACUUAGCAUACAAAUAUAAGUCAUUUGUUUAUCAGUAUUCAGUAUUUUAGUUAACUUAUUAUAUUUAGAACAUGUUUUAUGCUUGGUUAUGCAUUCUCAGUCUUUACCGAUUUUAUGCAUUAUAUUUAGUACUUCAUGAUAUACAUUCAAUCAUCUAUUACUUGUGCACAUAAAACCAUGUAUAUUAGCCUAACCUCAUUUAGCAUACCAGUAUAUUCAAAGUACUGAUCGCAUACUCUUUUCUUAUGCAAUGAUGUUUAAUAUCAUAG
rnacentral:lncRNA from 1 species